rnacentral:rRNA from 1 species
GAUGAACGCUGACAGAAUGCUUAACACAUGCAAGUCAACUUGAACUUCGGUUUGGGUGGCGGACGGGUGAGUAACGCGUAAAGAACUUGCCUCACAGAUAGGGACAACAUUUGGAAACGAAUGCUAAUACCUGAUAUUAUGAUUAUAUGGCAUCGUAUAAUUAUGAAAGCUAUAUGCGCUGUGAGAGAGCUUUGCGUCCCAUUAGCUAGUUGGAGAGGUAACGGCUCACCAAGGCGAUGAUGGGUAGCCGGCCUGAGAGGGUGAUCGGCCACAAGGGGACUGAGAAACGCCCAUACCUCCAAGGGGCGGAAGCAGUGGGAAAUGUAGGAAAAUGUACAAAGAUUGUGAUAGAGCAUUUCUGUGUGCACAAUGAAUUUUUUGGGAAUGAAAAGUUUUUUAAGUAGGAAAAAAAAAAAGGAGGGUACCAAAAGAAGAAGCGAGGGCUAACUACGUG